AUAGAUGUGUUCAUUUAUUUUCAAAGAGAGAGAAAUGAUACAGAGAAGAUUCACAAGGCCCCUGUGCAAGAGUGACCCACAAAUUUGUGAAACAUUCCAUAUUAUA